AUAUUCGUAAAAAAGAAUACUUCGAUCUCUAAUCCAGUUGAACAUCUGGAAUUUAAUGGAUUUUACAACACGAGAUUCUUAUUUAAAAACGGAUUGAAAUGUGAAAUGAAAAAAAGGAUAGGAUAUAGUUAUGUCUUAAAUGGAGCAAACAUAAGCUAAAGUAUGAUUGACUUAUUCAACCUAUAACCUCAAUAUCAUCGCUAUAAAACAUCUCAAUAUGAACCGCAUAAAUCAAUGAAGAAUAUUCCUAUUUGGUCGAGCAGUUAAAUUCCUUCGUGAGAGGUUAAACAAAU